GCGAGGGUAGCUCAGGUGGCAGAGCGUCAGACGGAAGAUCUGCAGGUCGCGUGUUCGAUCCACGUUCAUCGCA